rnacentral:misc_RNA from 1 species
UUUCCGUAGGUGAACCUGCGGAAGGAUCAUUACAGUGUUCCCUGCCCUUCGGGGUAGGAUCGCCACCCUUGAUUAUUUAUGAGUGUUGCUUUGGCGGGCCUCGCGGCCUGGCCGCGCCCCGGCUUCGGCGGGGGAGCGCCCGCCAGAGGAUUCUACAAACCUGAUUAUUAGUGUCGUCUGAGUACUAUAUAAUAGUUAAAACUCUCAACAACGGAUCUCUUGGUUCUG